GCCCGGUUAGCUCAAUCGGUAGAGCGUGAGACUUUUACGUUCUAAUAGCAUACGAUUAUCUCAAGGCUGCGAGUUCGAGCCUCGCAUCGGGCG
rfam:Aspergillus versicolor CBS 583.65 unplaced genomic scaffold ASPVEscaffold_2, whole genome shotgun sequence.